GUAGGUGGCAAGCGUUGUCCGGAAUUAUUGGGCGUAUAGCGCGCGCAGGCGGUUCUUUAAGUCUGAUGUGAAAGCCCACGGCUCAACCGUGGAGGGUCAUUGGAAACUGGAGAACUUGAGUACAGAAGAGGAAAGCGGAAUUCCACGUGUAGCGGUGAAAUGCGUAGAGAUGUGGAGGAACACCAGUGGCGAAGGCGGCUUUCUGGUCUGUAACUGACGCUGAGGCGCGAAAGCGUGGGGAGCAAACAGGAUUAGAUACCCUGGUAGUCCACGCCGUAAACGAUGAGUGCUAAGUGUUAGGGGGGUUUCCGCCCCCCUUAGUGCUGCAGCUAACGCAUUAAGCACUCCGCCUGGGAGUACGGCCGCAAGGCUG
rnacentral:rRNA from 1 species